UGACUCUCCGGAGCACCCUUGCACGAGGCACCCGCCUCCCGGUGCUUCCCAGGCAGCGACCCGCCGAAUCCUAUGCAGUCGGCUCUGCUGUCACGGUCCCCUUUCAGGAGAAGGGGGCGUGAAGACAGAGCUGAGAGAGAUUUGAAGAUGCUGGCAUUGAAGAGUAGAGGGGUGUGCCCACAAGCCAAGGAAUGCCAACAGCCACCAGCAGCCAGAAGAGGAGUGACUUUCAAGGACAUGAAGAAGCUGAGGACCUUUUCAAGUGUGGGCAUCACCAUUUCUCUUGGUGCCAGGUCUCAGCUGCCCAUCCAGCCGCUACCUCUGGAAACGCUCCUGUCUGCCCCGGGCCCUCCCCAUGGAGUCUGACCCCAGCACAGACCUCCAGGGAUUCCCGAAGCAGUCCUGGAUGCCACAGACCCCACUGCAGUCCCGAACACCCCUAGCUGCUUCAUCCACCUGUUUGACAACUACCCUGCCCUAAGUAUGCCAACAUAAGCCAUCCUCUGACUUUAUAAAGACUUAGGAACUGCACAGUCCAUGAGACUGUCCAUGCC
rnacentral:lncRNA from 1 species